GUGAGUCAUCGAAUCUUUGAACGCACAUUGCGCCCACCAGUAUUCUGGUGGGCAUGCCUGUUCGAGCGUCAUUUACAGCCCUUAAGCCACUGCUGCUUAGCGUUGGGGCUCGCCUCCAGGGCGGCCCCAAAAGAUAUUGGCGGAGUCGCAUAAGCUCUAAGUGUAGUAAUAUCCCUCACUUUAGCGUCUUCUGCGGCGACGGCCACAAGCUCUAUAUCAAGGUUUGACCUCGGAUCAGGUAGGAAUACCCGCUGAACUUAAGCAUAUCAAUAAGCGGAGGA
rnacentral:misc_RNA from 1 species